rnacentral:tRNA from 1 species
GGAACGGUGCCUGAAUUAAAGGACCACUUUGAUAGAGUGAAUCAUGAGGGUUAAAUCCCCUCCCGCUCC